rnacentral:lncRNA from 1 species
CUCUGCCCUCUGGGCCCUCUCCUCACAGGGACAGCCCUCCCGGGGUUGGCGGCUUCAAAGACCUGCUGAGCAUGCUCCCCAGUGGCCAAGGAGCAGUGGAAACAGCUCAAGCUUCCAGUCCCACCCUACUUCUGAGCUUUCAAUUCUCCUGGCCAGGAUAGCACCCUAAGUUCCUGGUAGACAUCUGAACUGAGCACCUAAUCACCACAUCCAUUGAGAAUGUACAGCAGGUCAGGCCCCGGGGGACAGCCUUCUGGGAAGGUGCUGGCCCAGAGGGAGCAUGUGGGUGGCCCAAGGCGAGUCAUGCAAAUUUCUUCCCAGAAGGAAUGAGGCCCUGUCCCAGGGAAAGCCCAAGCAUGAAGCACCUAAGUUGCUGACCCAUGGUGCUUCCUCCUACAGGGCUGCAUUCUGGAGGGGGCUGCUCCACAGGCUUCACUGUGCUGGAGGCCUCUGUGUCUGCUGUCUGUGUCCUGCAAGGACAAGAUCAGCUGGAUCCUUCACUCAGUAGGAGCCUGAGAUGGGCAUUUCUGGGCCCCGCUGUGAGCCAGACCCUAUGCAGAGUCCUGGGGAUCUGCAAGGAGGUCCCUUUCCACAGGCUCCAGAUGAAUCACAAUCCAACAGAAGGUGUUGGCAAAGGCAAGUCCACCCUACAGGGAAGACAGAGGGCCAAUGGGGAGCCACUUUCCCCAGCCUCCCUCCUGAAGCUGAACCCAGCAGCGCGCCCCAGCCCUUUUCCAGACAUCUGUCUUUGUGAUUCCUUGGGCUCCUCUCCACACCCACACUCCUUAUGCCCACAUUCUGUCCUGUUAUCUGUAACUCUUUGUAGCUCUUUCACUCCUCUCUCUUUUAUGACGUCCCCCUCUUUCUCAGUCUCCAGGUCUCAUCCUCUCUCUCCAGUUCUCCGUCUCUCUCACCAUCAUGCCCUCUUCCCGCCCCACUGCCCUGAGACUUGUCCUAAUGGCCCCUCUCAGCAGCCUGGGCAGCCUCCUUGAAUUUCCACUCACCAGUCACCCAGCUGCAUCCCAAUUCUCAGUCCUGGCUUUACUCCACACAUCUUAUCUCCUCCCCUCCAAGGGUCCCUGGUCUACAAGGGAAGCUUUCCCAGAACCCAUAUAGCCACUUGGUCACUUCCCCAGAAGCUGAGGGUUGCUAUGUUGUUGACAAAGGGCAGGUGACACACUUUGCUCUCCACAGUGCUAUCAGCAGGCAUGGGCAGGGGCCCUAGAGAGUGCCAGGGACCAAGGGGUGAGGCCAGGUCCACCCUGCUCUUAAUCAUCACUCCCCAUUUUCCUGGACAGUGCAGCUGGAUGAGGAAGCAGCCGCAGGAUGCAACGUGGAUGCUAGAGGACCAAGGGGAGGACAGAGAGCAGAAGAUGACUGGCAGAAUGAGGAACUAGUGGGUGGGCCUGGGGACCUGGUAGAUGAAGCAGGACCUGAUGGCUAUUUGGAAAUGGAGGAGUCACAAAAGCGAGCAAUUUCCAGGAUAUUUGGAAAUAUUCUGGCUUGAGGUUACUACCAUGAAACAAUUUGACCAAGAAAAUCAGACACUCUCAGAAAAUAACAUUUUUUAUGCCAUUUUACAAAUGAGGUCUCUAAGCCCAGAGGGGGCAUGUGGCCUGCUCAGACCUGACAUGGUGUGACCAGGUAGAAUCCAGUUUCCUGACUCCUUGCACUUAGAGGGGUUCCCCUCAACUAAAACCAUCCUCACGGAGCAUUUACCCUGGACCAGGUCCUUGUUAGGUACUGGGUCACCAAACUGAGUUAGUUCUGCCCCCAAGGGCAACAGAAAAGGGAAUAGGCAGUUACCACCAUAGGAGAUGACAAUGUCCACGGACCAUAAUAACAGAAGAAGCAUGUCCCCAAGGCCCUGUGGUGGGGAAUCUGCCUCCCACCUGUGGUAGCUCUGGAGGAGGGGCAGCCUGACCCUGUGACAUGCAGGGAAACCCCGUAGCCCCCUGUCUCCCACCCUGGCAUCUUCCAGCAACCUCCACAAAGUGGGUUUGGCCAGAACCAAGUGAUUGAGGGAGAGAUUAUAGGGCCCAGGAAUUGUGGGGUCCUAUGGGUACCUAGAAGACCAUCUGCUUUUACUCUGAGGAUGUAGGAGCCAAGGCAGAAGGCUGAGAAUGGACUGAGAGGGGGAACAAGUGGGGAGCAGAAAGAUGAUUGGGAAGGCUCCAUCAGUGACCUGGGAGAGAGAUGAAGUGGCUUUUCUGUUUGUUUGUCUGUUUGUUUGUUUGAGACAGAGUCUCACUCUGUCGCCCAGUUUGGAGUGCAGUGGCACGAUCUCGACUCACUGCAACCUCUGCCUCCCGGAUUCAAGUGAUUCUCCUGCCUCAGCCUCCUGAGUAGCUGGGACUAUAGGCACAUGCCACCACCGCUGGCUAAUGUUUGUGUUUUUAGUAGAGACGGGGUUUCCCCUAUGGCUGGUUUCUAGGCUGGUCUCGAACUUCUGACCUCAAGUGAUCCACCUACCUUGGCCUCCCAAAGUGCUGGGAUUACAGGCGUGAGCCACCACGCCCAGCCAGAAGUGGUUUUGAUUAGGAUGUGGCAGUGGAGAAACAGUGAGAUGGCUGGGUUCUUGACCUAUUUUAAAAGAGGAGGUCAUGGGAUUUGCUUACAUUACAAGGGGAUGUGGGGUGUGAAGGAAAGAGGUGGAUGAUGGCACCAAGGUGUUUGGCCUGAGAAACUAAAAGGAGGGAGUUGCAUUAACUGAGAUGGGGAAGACUGGGAAUAAAGCAGAUUGAGGAGGAGGUGGAUCAGAAGCUCCAUUCUAAUCAUGGUGAGACUAGCAGACCCCGGACAUCCAGGUGGAUCGUGGAGAAGUCAGCUCCCUGACUCACUGCCACUCAGAAUGGUAUUGCUGCUAUAGAAGCCAAAGGUAGAGGCCUUGAACUUUAUUUAAAACUAAUUUUUGGACCCUGGGCACAUUUUCUCCCAAGGACAAUGCAGAUGCGCAUUCACACAAAUUGCUGUGUCCAGCUCCUGGGGUUUGUAGAAUGCUCUGUAUCGUCCCUGGAUUGUUCUCACAUUUCCAGAGUUUGGACUCCUCAACCUUCCUAACCACCCUUGAAGCCCCACUCUGACCUUUCCGCACCAUGCCCAUUGUGCCUGUGGCGAUGGAUUGUCAUGCCCUUGACUGCGGGGACCUGCUGCUCUCCUGCCUUACUUCAUGCACAUUGGUUCCUUCCUUGCUCGUGGACCCAGAGAGGGGCUGAAGUUUUCUCUGCAUGGUCCCUGUCUGGUGCUGGGCCUGGCUCUGGGAAUAUCAAAUUAAAACCUGUUUGUGGUCGAUUGUUGACCGCAUCAUGGCCUUUCCAUGAGAGUAAGAGCAGGAAAUGUAUGUCCCAGCUACAAAAAAGACAAUGGCACAUUCACGGGCUUCAAAAAGGUUUGUGUGCAGCUUUGGACAAUGUUGAUUUGUUAUUUUACGGGUCACUCUGCAUUACCCACCAUUGUCAGUGCACAAAAGAAUGUAUUGAGACUAGAUCUGAGCAGUUAAAUACAAGACGUGAGAAUUAAACCUAGGAGAGAAGUCUCGAGAAGGAAGCACAGCUUCCUCAAACUAAGCAUCUGCCCCAGAGACAGCCAUGCAGUUUCCCCUCCAGGUGGGCCAUGGGGGCUGACACAUAAAAGCCAGGAGCCCUCGACAGCAGGGACACACCUGCCAAUGGAAGUGCCCCAGCCUGCACACUCCUCCACUGCUGAUGGGCAUCAUGGCCCAGCCACACUCCAUGCCCACAGCACUCACAGGCUGUCCCUGCCCUGGUGCCUGAUGUCUCUCCUUGGCCACUCCAACUCUCAGGGCCAUUUGAGUACAGCCCCCCUCCAGGAAGCUCAGCACCUGCACCCUUGUGACCUCUUCCUUCCUGCAACUCACUGCCCUGCCUGGAUCACCGCUGAGCAAGUGGUCCUAUAGAAGAAAGAAAGAAAGGUUGGCCUGGCUUGGUGGCAAGCACCUGUAGUUCCAGCUACCUGGAAGGCUGAGGUGGGAGGAUCACCUGAGCCUGGGAGGUCGAGGCUGUAGUGAGCUGUGAUUAUAUCAUUGCACUCCAGCCUGGACAAUAAAGUGAGACCCUGUCAAAAAAGAAAGAAGAAGGAAAGGAGAGGAGAGGAGAGGAGAGGAGAGGAGAGGAGAGGAGAGGAGAGGAGAGGAGAGGGGAGGGGAGGGGAGGGGAGGGGAGGGGAGGGGGAGGGAGGGAGGGGAGGGGAGGGGAGGGGAGGGGAGGGAGGAAGGGAGGAAUCACUUUCUUAAGUCUAACUUUAGACAAUCAACAAAACAAUAAACCUAUGAAGCUCUAAUAUGUAGCAUUUGUCAAUUUCUGUGGUGUAAAAACUCCUUGAAUGACUUCAAGUUGCCAACAUGGAUGGGUGCCACUGAAUUUGGAGUUGGGAGGAGAUGAGUGAUAUUCCAGUGUUGUAUAACAUUCCUACCAUACAGAUACAAUAGGCUGAAAUAACCUCAAGAGCCACAGGAAUGCAAGGGAAAGGAAGAUCAGAAUGGGGGAAAAUUUUGCAAAUCCCUGACCACGUAACAGCCAGCUCCCAUGAGCCAACGCCAGCACAGCACUGCCUGGAACCCAGCCUCUCCUCUCCUAGGUGUACGCCCAGCAGAAAGGCAUACAUGUGUGCACCAAAAACACAAACGAGAAUGUUGAUAAGAGCAUCGUCCAUACAUAUCCCAAAUGUCUGUGAGUGGUAGAUGGAUAAAUCAAUUGUAAUACUAUCAACUAAGCAGUGAGAAUGAGCUAACUGCUGCUGCCCACGACAAUAUGGUUGAAUGUCACACACAUAAUAUUGAGCAUAAGAGGUUGGACACAGAAGAGCACCUACCACCUGCCUGCAUUUAUGUGAAGCUCAAGAACAGUAAAAACCAGUGCCCGUGAGGCCACAAGGUAGGGGAGUGUUAACCUCGAGGAAGAGGGGCAGGAAAGUGAUUAAUGGGAGCAAGAGUGGGGCCUGGGGGUGGAAAUGUUUCUAUUUCUUGAUCUGGGUGGUGAUUACACAAAAGUGUUCAUUUUGUGAUAACUCAUGUAGCUACACAAAUAUUAACUGUACACGUUUCUAUAUGUAUGUUGGGUGUCAAUAUAAAGUUUAUUUUAUUUUAUUUAGUUAAAAAAAAAACCGGGGACAGGGGUCUUGCUAUGUUGGCCUGGGUAGCCUCAAACUCCCGGCCUCAAGCAAUCUUCCUGCCUCUGCCUCCCAAUGUGCUGGGAUUAUAGAUGUGAGCCACUACACCCUGGCCAAAAGUUUAUUUUUAAAAGCCCCCAGCAGGAAGGCAUACAAAUGACUUCGGCCUCAUGAAUAACCUUGGCACUCCCCAAAGGUGCUGUCCUUGUUUGGGAUGUACCAGAGAUACCCUUGGGAGGCCCCCUGGAGGCUGCAGAGCAAAGGUUUCUUGAAAUAUGGCCUCC